rnacentral:misc_RNA from 1 species
ACCGGCGAGUACAGAGGCGGAGGGGGACUUGUGCCCCUUCUUCCUCGGCGCCGCCCCCGAAAUGAAUUGGCGGUCUCGUCGCGGCCUCCUCUGCGUAGUAGCACAACCUCGCAUCAGGAGCGCGGCGCGGCCACUGCCGUAAAACGCCCAACUUUUUUUAAGAGUUGACCUCGAAUCAGGUAGGAAU